rnacentral:rRNA from 1 species
UUCCGGUUGAUCCCGCCGGACCUGACUGCUAUCGGAUUGAUACUAAGCCAUGUGAGUCUUUGUAGCAAUACAAGGCAUACGGCUCAGUAACACGUAGCCAAUCUACCCUAUGGACGGGGAUAACCUCGGGAAACUGAGGAUAAUACCCGAUAGAUCAUUAUGCCUGGAACGGUUUAUGGUCUAAAUGAUUCGUCGCCAUAGGAUGGGACUGCGGCCUAUCAGCUUGUUGGUGAGGUAAUGGCCCACCAAGGCUAUUACAGGUACGGGCUCUGAGAGGAGAAGCCCGGAGAUGGGUACUGAGACACGGACCCAGGCCCUAUGGGGCGCAGCAGGCGAGAAAACUUUGCAAUGUGCGAAAGCACGACAAGGUUAAUCCGAGUGAUUCCUGCUAAAGGAAUCUUUUGUUAGUCGUAACACCACUGAUGAAUAAGGGGUGGGCAAGUUCUGGUGUCAGCCGCCGCGGUAAAACCAGCACCUCAAGUGGUCAGGAGGAUUAUUGGGCCUAUAGCAUCCGUAGCCUGCUCUGUAAGUUUCCGGUUAAAUCCAUCUGCUUAACUGAUGGGCUGCCGGAAAAACUGCAAAGCUAGGAAGUGGGAGAGGUAGACGGUACUCGGUAGGAAGGGGUAAAAUCCUUUGAUCUAUUGAUGACCACCAGUGGC